rnacentral:rRNA from 1 species
AGCAGCCGCGGUAAUUCCAGCUCCAAUAGCGUAUAUUAAAGUUGUUGCAGUUAAAAAGCUCGUAGUUGAACUUCGGGGUCUACCCAUUGGUCAGGCUUAAUUGUCUGCACUGGUGAGAUGGAUCUCUACCUUCUGAGGAACUUUCAUGCCAUUUAUUUGGUGUGGUUGGAAAUCAGGACUGUUACUUUGAAAAAAUUAGAGUGUUUAAAGCAGACUAUCGUCUGAAUACAUUAGCAUGGAAUAAUGAAAUAGGACGGACUGAUUCUAUUUCGUUGGUUUCUAGGAUCACCGUAAUGAUUAAUAGGGAUAGUUGGGGGCAUUAGUAUUCAAUUGUCAGAGGUGAAAUUCUGGAUUUAUUGAAGACUAACUACUGCGAAAGCAUUUGCCAAGGAUGUUUUCAUUAAUCAAGAACGAAAGUUAGGGGAUCGAAGACGAUCAGAUACCGUCGUAGUCUUAACCAUAAACUAUGCCGACUAGGGAUCGGACGA